GGCAACCUGCUCAGUUUAUUUUUUCAGCGUGGAAGGUUUGUUCUUUUGCUGUUUGCAAUAAAUCUUGCUGCUGCUAGCUGUUUUGGUUUGCAUUUCCUUUAUGAGCUGUGACACUCACCGCGAAGGUCUGCAGCUUCACUCCUGAGGCCAGUGCGACCACGAACCCACAGGGAGGAAUGAACAAUUCCAGACACCUGCUGCCUUAAGAGCUGUAACACUCACCAUGAAAGUCUGCAGCUUCACUCCUGAAGCCAGUGAGACCACGAACCCACCAGAAGGAAGAAACUCUGAACACAUCUGAACAUCAGACGGAACAAACUUUGGACACACCAUCUUUAAGAACUGUAACACUUAUACCACCAGGGUCUGCAGCUUUAUUCUUGAACCAUUCAACAUAGUGCAUCAGAAGUGAUCUUUCAACACAUCCAGUACAUGAAUAAAUGAAAAACGCAAGUUACAAAACGUUACAGAGGUAAAAUCAUAAAUAUAGUCCCUGAAUUUCACGGCCACCUGAGCUUCACAUGAAGCUCAUAUUAAAGCCAU
rnacentral:lncRNA from 1 species